UAGAUUUACCUUUCUGUGCCCCUGUGCAGUCCUGAGUUAUCUGAAACUGCAAAUACCCUCAGUGUGGAGUCCCCAGACUCCUCUUUCAGCAUAAUACUCAGUAAAAAUUGUCACCAGUGCAGCUAUUAGUGAGGCAACAGGGCCAAGACUUCAUCCAGACUUUAAGUAUCUGACAGUAUCAGCAUGGGAUCUCUGUUGAUACAGAACAAAGAAGCUAAGAGGAAAAAGACUGAUGGAAAAUGUGGUGUUUGUAUCUGCUUAAUGAAAAGUUAACUAUCCACUUCCUGUUUUAUAAUGUCUGGUGCAGGAUGACUUCAAGCAAAUAAAGAAGGGUUUUUUUGUCUAAGUCCA
rnacentral:lncRNA from 1 species